UACGUAGGGUGCAAGCGUUGUCCGGAAUUAUUGGGCGUAAAGAGCUCGUAGGCGGUUUGUCGCGUCUGCCGUGAAAGUCCGGGGCUCAACUCCGGAUCUGCGGUGGGUACGGGCAGACUAGAGUGCAGUAGGGGAGACUGGAAUUCCUGGUGUAGCGGUGAAAUGCGCAGAUAUCAGGAGGAACACCGAUGGCGAAGGCAGGUCUCUGGGCAUGUCCUGACGCUGAGGAGCGAAAGUGUGGGGAGCGAACAGG
rnacentral:rRNA from 1 species